rnacentral:rRNA from 1 species
UACGGAGGGGGCUAGCGUUGUUCGGAAUUACUGGGCGUAAAGCGCACGUAGGCGGCUUUGUAAGUUAGAGGUGAAAGCCCGGGGCUCAACUCCGGAACUGCCUUUAAGACUGCAUCGCUUGAAUUGUGGAGAGGUAAGUGGAAUUCCGAGUGUAGAGGUGAAAUUCGUAGAUAUUCGGAAGAACACCAGUGGCGAAGGCGACUUACUGGACGAUUGUUGACGCUGAGGUGCGAAAGCGUGGGGAGCAAACAGG